GCGGCACAUUAGAGAACACCUACCACACUAGGCACACUACUGGCUACCUGGCUACUGUAAAGUGAUAGGUGUUUUGUGGUAGCGAUACGUGGGGCGUGCGUAGGUGUCGCAGCCUUGGGCCUUAACGCAUGACGAACUUCGUGUGUACUACAUAAAUGUCUGCGUGAUUUCAGCCGAGAACAUCGAUCGGUAAAGUUCAGAUAUUUAGGUACUCUGCCGUAGUGUGCCAGCGGGACUAGUGGCGGUUCUGGAGUGCGGCUUCGUCCCGACAUUUUUGUACGGAACAGUUCUGUGCGUCACCCGACUCUCCGUUUGCUAGUUGCCGCUAUGUCGGAAGGACGAAGGGAUGAAACUUCGAACGUUGAACCUGAACCAACCAACGGUGUGCCGACGCUGACCGACCAGUUGAACAAGCGGUUGUUACAAUCGUUUCUUCAGCGAUUAAACGAGACUUGCGAAGCGCCAACAGUGCCCCAGAUGGACUCUACCGCGCCCGACGACUUCGACUCUUGAUGCCCUGUCCGCGAAUUGUAUCGCAAAUCCUGUCUGCCUGUGUUCCCACUGUUACCCGGCAUCGGAAGUUCUAAUACGUGGCAUAUCGCGUUUCACUUGAGCACUAUGCAGAUAAAGUGACCUUAUUUAGGCCGCGCAGCGUUCCUUAAUAUGGGGCGUGGCCACGUUGCAACCCGUCAAAGAACAAUGCACAGUUUUUGUUUUUUAGCAAGCUUUAAUAAAAACAGUUGAGAAAGCACA